GAGUAAAAUUGAUGAAUUUGAUGGUGUUCAAGUUCCAAACUUUGACUACUUAAAAGAGGGAAUUUUAAGUAAAAAGAAAAAAGAAAGAAAAAAAAAACUUAUAAACUGUUUUUGUAAUCUUAUGUUCAGAUGUUAGUUCAUAGUUGCUUCUUUAUACAACUCACAGACUUAUAGUAAAGCACAUAUCCCGACGUAACCAACGAGUCCACCAACAUUCUUCUAUGGCCCAUUGAUUAUUAAGUACAUUAAAAUGUGUAAUAGUGUAUUAUUA
rnacentral:lncRNA from 1 species